CCAAACUUCUCCAAUCUUACUGUGGUAACUCUCCAAAGUUACUGUGGUAACUUUGGAGUUACUGUCUGACCCAAAUCUUCUCUAAAUGGUGUCUAAGUCUCUCCUGGACUUAACCCUAUCUUUGCACACUCAUCAGACCACUUCUGAAGCCUUAAGACUCUCCCAAAGCCUUAACAUACAAUCUCUGAAGAUCUUGCCAUGUCUUUGCACAAGCACCAACUCAACUCAUCACUUUUGCUUCUCCACUUCUUUUCUUCAAGUUAACA
rnacentral:lncRNA from 1 species